AGUGUGUUAGUAGAUGGCUGGAAGAGGAAACACAGAAGUGGAAGGUGGGGRCUUUUUCCUCUUACGUGGUCAAUAUGAUCCCAUGGAUUUCAGAUGUUUCUGCCCUGUGAGUGCCACAAACCUCUGCCACAUGUGGAAGGUGUCUUUCAGUUUCCUUUGGUACUGGAUGUACACCAAGAGGAGGCCUUGCAACCCGUAACUCCACACAGGCCACCUGGCUCACUCGCAGAAUGGCUGGGACUCAGCAGUCAGUGUUUGGCAUCCUCAGGUGUAUUCAAAAUYGAAGCACAUCCUGCAUGCUAAUUUAGAAAUGUAGAGCUAUACUGACAGCAUAUUGCAUCUCAUUCCUACUUCCACAAAUGUUCUCUCUCUUUAAAAAAUUAUUUUUAUUUGUAAUUCUGGUUAAAAUACCUAUAUCUUCUCCUUUCUCUUUUUAGACCUACCAUAAUUUUCAAGGUGUUUUCAGUUUGAGAGGCUUAGCUUAUUGCUUGAUAAGUCUGCAAAUUCCAGAUGAAGACUGCUCUUUUGAAUUAAUUUGCAUGGUCUUAAAAAUAAGUCCUUAARCUCUCAGCCCAGUGAUUACCUCUAAUUGGUCCUCAUAAUUUCUCAAAGCUUGCCCUUUCAAAAUCAAAAUCUUCACUUACAGACAUACGUUUGUUUAUCCCACUGUUUCAUUUAGAAUGGAUCAGCUAGGGAUCAUUAGAUUCAGAGCUAUUUUCUACAGAGGUUCUCUUAUAACGUGACUCAUGGGAUCAUGUACUUAAUGCCCCAUCUACGCUUUUUAAUAUCUAUUGUGAGGAAGUUAUUGAAGGUAAGGACAAACACCAAGCACAGUAAUUUUGGAUAUUAGCAUAUAAUAUGUUCUAARGCCCUACCUAAAAGUGAUGGCAUUGAAAUCACAAUUUCAAGCAUUCAAUAAGAAGAACAGUUCCUAGCAAUUAAUUGUACCUAUAUUUUGGGUGCAACAUACUUAGGUAUGUAGUUAUGAAAUCACAUGCUAUUUAUUUUCUCUAGGGGACUUCUGCCUUAGA